GACGAACGCUGGCGGCGUGCUUAACACAUGCAAGUCGAACGGAAAGGCCCUGCUUUUGUGGGGUGCUCGAGUGGCGAACGGGUGAGUAACACGUGAGUAACCUGCCCUUGACUUUGGGAUAACUUCAGGAAACUGGGGCUAAUACCGGAUAGGAGCUCCUGCUGCAUGGUGGGGGUUGGAAAGUUUCGGCGGUUGGGGAUGGACUCGCGGCUUAUCAGCUUGUUGGUGGGGUAGUGGCUUACCAAGGCUUUGACGGGUAGCCGGCCUGAGAGGGUGACCGGCCACAUUGGGACUGAGAUACGGCCCAGACUCCUACGGGAGGCAGCAGUGGGGAAUAUUGCACAAUGGGCGGAAGCCUGAUGCAGCAACGCCGCGUGCGGGAUGACGGCCUUCGGGUUGUAAACCGCUUUCGCCUGUGACGAAGCGUAAGUGACGGUAAUGGGUAAAGAAGCACCGGCUAACUACGUGCCAGCAGCCGCGGUGAUACGUAGGGUGCGAGCGUUGUCCGGAUUUAUUGGGCGUAAAGGGCUCGUAGGUGGUUGAUCGCGUCGGAAGUGCAAUCUUGGGGCUUAACCCUGAGCGUGCUUUCGAUACGGGUUGACUUGAGGAAGGUAGGGGAGAAUGGAAUUCCUGGUGGAGCGGUGGAAUGUGCAGAUAUCAGGAGGAACACCAGUGGCGAAGGCGGUUCUCUGGGCCUUUCCUGACGCUGAGGAGCGAAAGCGUGGGGAGCGAACAGGCUUAGAUACCCUGGUAGUCCACGCUGUAAACGGUGGGUACUAGGUGUGGGGUCCAUUCCACGGGUUCCGUGCCGUAGCUAACGCUUUAAGUACCCCGCCUGGGGAGUACGGCCGCAAGGCUAAAACUCAAAGGAAUUGACGGGGCCCCGCACAAGCGGCGGAGCAUGCGGAUUAAUUCGAUGCAACGCGUAGAACCUUACCUGGGUUUGACAUGGAUCGGGAGUGCUCAGAGAUGGGUGUGCCUCUUUUGGGGUCGGUUCACAGGUGGUGCAUGGCUGUCGUCAGCUCGUGUCGUGAGAUGUUGGGUUAAGUCCCGCAACGAGCGCAACCCUUGUUCACUGUUGCCAGCACGUUAUGGUGGGGACUCAGUGGAGACCGCCGGGGUCAACUCGGAGGAAGGUGGGGAUGACGUCAAGUCAUCAUGCCCCUUAUGUCCAGGGCUUCACGCAUGCUACAAUGGCUGGUACAGAGAGUGGCGAGCCUGUGAGGGUGAGCGAAUCUCGGAAAGCCGGUCUCAGUUCGGAUUGGGGUCUGCAACUCGACCUCAUGAAGUCGGAGUCGCUAGUAAUCGCAGAUCAGCAACGCUGCGGUGAAUACGUUCCCGGGGCU
rnacentral:rRNA from 1 species